rnacentral:rRNA from 1 species
UACAGAGGUCCCAAGCGUUGUUCGGAUUCACUGGGCGUAAAGGGCGCGUAGGUGGUUGGGGAAGCGUGUGGUGAAAGCCCGGGGCUCAACCCCGGGUCGGCCAUGCGAACUGCCCGACUGGAGCACGGUAGGGGCCAAUGGAAUUCCGGGUGUAGCGGUGGAAUGCGUAGAGAUCCGGAAGAACACCGGUGGCGAAGGCGGUUGGCUGGGCCGUGGCUGACACUGAGGCGCGACAGCGUGGGGAGCAAACAGG